GCUGGGUGUGGUGGAGCGCACCUGUAGUCCUAGCUACUCUGGAGGCUGAGGCAGAAGGAUCGCUUGAGCCCAGGAGGUCAAGGCUGUCAUGAGCCGUGAUCUCACACCACAUUCCAGCCUGGGUGACAGAGUGAGACUCUGUCUCAA
ensembl:misc_RNA Metazoa_SRP Metazoan signal recognition particle RNA